rnacentral:rRNA from 1 species
GAUGAACGCUGGCGGCGUGCCUAAUACAUGCAAGUCGAGCGAACAGACGAGGAGCUUGCUCCUCUGACGUUAGCGGCGGACGGGUGAGUAACACGUGGAUAACCUACCUAUAAUACUGGGAUAACUUCGGGAAACCGGAGCUAAUACCGGAUAAUAUAUUGAACCGCAUGGAUCAAUAGUGAAUGACGGUUUUGCUGUCACUUAUAGCUGGAUCCGAGCCGCCUUAGCUAGUUGGUAAGGUAACGGCUUACCAAGGAAACGAUGCGUAGCCGACCUGAGAGGGUGAUCCGCCACAAUGGAACUGAAAACCGGGCCAGGCUCCUACGGGGGGCCACAGUAGGGAAUCUUCCGCAAUGGGGGAAAGCCUGAAGGCGCCCAGCCGCGUGAGUGAUAGAGGUCUUCGGAGCGGAAAACUCUGUUAUUAGGGAAAAACAAGUGUGUAGGUAACUAUGCGCGUCUUGACGGUACCUAAUCAGAAAGCCACGGCUAACUACGUG